rnacentral:rRNA from 1 species
UGGGGAAUUUUUGGACAAUGGGCGAAAGCCUGAUCCAGCAAUGCCGCGUGUGUGAAGAAGGCCUUCGGGUUGUAAAGCACUUUUGUCCGGAAAGAAAUCCUUGGCUCUAAUACAGUCGGGGGAUGACGGUACCGGAAGAAUAAGCACCGGCUAACUACGUGCCAGCAGCCGCGGUAAUACGUAGGGUGCAAGCGUUAAUCGGAAUUACUGGGCGUAAAGCGUGCGCAGGCGGUUUGCUAAGACCGAUGUGAAAUCCCCGGGCUCAACCUGGGAACUGCAUUGGUGACUGGCAGGCUAGAGUAUGGCAGAGGGGGGUAGAAUUCCACGUGUAGCAGUGAAAUGCGUAGAGAUGUGGAGGAAUACCGAUGGCGAAGGCAGCCCCCUGGGCCAAUACUGACGCUCAUGCACGAAAGCGUGGGGAGCAAACAGGAUUAGAUACCCUGGUAGUCCACGCCCUAAAACGAUGUCAACUAGUUGUUGGGGAUUCAUUUCCUUAGUAACGUAGCUAACGCGUGAAGUUGACCGCCUGGGGAGUACGGUCGCAAGAUUAAAACUCAAAGGAAUUGACGGGGUCAUAGCUGUUUCCU